rnacentral:rRNA from 1 species
CGGACGGGUGAGUAACGCGUGGAUAACCUGCCGUAUGCAGGGGGAUACCAACUGGAAACAGUUGCUAAUACCGCAUAAGCGCACAGUACCGCAUGGUAUAGUGUGAAAAGAUUUAUCGGCAUACGAUGGAUCCGCGUCCGAUUAGCCAGUUGGCGGGGUAGAAGCCCACCAAAGCGACGAUCGGUAGCCGGCCUGAGAGGGCGGACGGCCACAUUGGGACUGAGACACGGCCCAAACUCCUACGGAAGGCAGCAG